ensembl:snoRNA
AUCCUUUUGUGGUUCACAAGCAUAAUGAUUAGGUUUUCACAUUCCUGUAAAAUGUGACUCCCUCAAACCUUGUUACAACAUUGUCACGUUAUCCAUCUAAUA